UGUUGUUUUUCCGAAAAUCAAUUACGAAUGGCUUGAUUUUGUGUUGUAUUGACCUUAUCAGCUUUCUUCACUUUUUUCGAGUCUUUCUUAAUGCACUUUUCGGUUAACAAGUCAACAUCAAUUUCUUUUGUUGUAAAAGAGUAUUCGGAAGGUGGCUUUCUUUUCGGAGAAAGUGUUUAUAGCCCUGUACUUCUACAAUCGGAGAGAUUGAGGUCUGCAGCGUAGAUCCUUCGGGGUUAGAUACACUUGUGCUAAGUUGUAGCUUUUCAUAGACAACUUGUUGACUAUGUUUAGUCAUGCGGCUUACUCGCUUGUGCUAUUUUACCUAC
rnacentral:rRNA from 1 species